rnacentral:sRNA from 2 species
CUGCAUGUGCUGUAUAUUUAAUUUUCUUGAGUCUCGAAAUGCUAUAAGCUCGGAUUGAUCAACGCUCUCUCGGUAUUUUGGUUAACCAACAUAGACCUUGGGGAAAAAAAGGAAAAAAAAGAAAAAAAAAUCAAUCCCUGGACAAAUUACCAGUGAUCCAAAUCCGUAUGCACAAUUCCUCAACUACAAACACCCCUUCACCUACCCACCAACAACUUCUCAUGACAUCGCAGUACCGGGCAGCAGGAUGGUGAUCUCUCCUGUCUAGGAUUCCCAGAGACCGGCUCAGGAAGUCUCCCUAGAUCCAGCUAUUUUAUCACAUAAUGUUCCAAACAAAGCCCAAGUUUGUUGCACUUGACAGGCGAUACAUGAGGCGUAUAGUAAAAUAAAUGGUACCCGAUAAUUGCCU